rnacentral:rRNA from 1 species
AACGAACGCUGGCGGCAUGCCUAACACAUGCAAGUCGAACGAGACCUUCGGGUCUAGUGGCGCACGGGUGCGUAACGCGUGGGAACCUGCCCUUAGGUUCGGAAUAACUCCCCGAAAGGGGUGCUAAUACCGGAUAAUGUCUUCGGACCAAAGAUUUAUCGCCUUUGGAUGGGCCCGCGUUGGAUUAGCUAGUUGGUAGGGUAAAAGCCUACCAAGGCGACGAUCCAUAGCUGGUCUGAGAGGAUGAUCAGCCACACUGGGACUGAGACACGGCCCAGACUCCUACGGGAGGGAGCAGUGGGGAAUAUUGGAAAAUGGGCGAAGGCCUGAUCCAGCAAUGCCGCGUGAGUGAUGAAGGCCUUAGGGUUGUAAAGCUCUUUUAACCGGGAUGAUAAUGACAGUACCGGGAGAAUAAGCGCCGGCUAACUCCGUG